rnacentral:misc_RNA from 1 species
GCUGAGCAAGGGUGGUUUUACCAACCCCACCCAUACCCACUAUGGGAAUCACACCUACGCCGUUCCCAUUUCCAUCAUCUGAUAGCAGCAACUUCAUUAUGGCUUCCUUAUCAUCAUCCCUACCAUAAAUACCCGACUCAUCUACCAAAGAAGUUGUCUGUAUCUUACAUGUUGAUGGUUUUUCUCCAAUACCCUCUCUUAGACCAAGGGCAUCCUUUUGUUUUACUAAGUAUUCAAGCCUCUCCAGAAUUUCUUCUAAUUUCGCUUCCACCAACCCCUUUUUGAACGGAUUACGAGAAGAGAAAAAAUUGCGCACCUUUUUCCUUCGAGAUACAACUUCAUGCUUCGAUUGUAAAGCUCCAUAAGCAAUCUCAUCCAACAAGUCAUCAGCUUCAUAGACAGCAUCUUCAAGCUCAUCAAGCGACUUCAUCACAGCUGGCUUAGUAAUCUGCUUCUCCUCUGCAUCAUCCAGCACUCCAUUAACACAGCUGGGCAUCACUGAUCCUUCUGACCUUAAUUAAAUCAACAAAGGCGCGAGAAUCCGUCUUAUCAAACAAGACAUUAAGGCAAAAAGAGAGAAAUGAUCCUCCUACAAGUGCAUCAGCCAUGGGUUACUCCUCCUGCAAGAUGGGUAUACAGUUGAUUUGACUUGACUCGUAAAAUUUCCUAGAAAUCAUAAAUCUAAUAUUAAAAGAUUAGACAGCAAAUACAACAAACAAGAAAGAAAGUAACAAGAAAUUGGAGAAAUAAAUCUUAAAAGAAAAGGGUAACUGGUAAACGGUACUAUCCUCUGAAGUGAGAACUACCACCAUCCACCGGUGGAAUGUCGCCGGCGACAAGGAGAGUAGGUUGUGCUCAGUGGAGAAUGACAUGAACCAGAUGUGCAGCAACUUAAGGAGAAAAGAAUGAAUACUAAAUAAAACAGUGGGUGUUGAUUAGUGCUGCAAAGAAAGAAAGAAGAGGAAGCUGCUUGUUCAGAAUUUCAGAAUGACAUUCCAAAGCUAUUCCAGCUCUUUUCUUUUAAUUACUUCACUAACAGACAGUUAGAUUAGCGAAAAUGGACUGCAUCCU